CCCUUAGAGUUUGAUCCUGGCUCAGAAUCAACGCUGGCGGCGUGCCUCAGACAUGCAAGUCGAACGCGAAAGGCUCCUUCGGGGGCCGAGUAGAGUGGCGCACGGGUGAGUAACACGUAGGUAAUUUGCCUUCGGGUGGGGAAUAACAGCCGGAAACGGCUGCUAAUACCGCAUAAUGCAGCGGCUCGACAUCGAGACAGUUGUUAAAGCGGGGGAUCGCAAGACCUCGCGCCUGAAGAGAAGCCUGCGGCAGAUUAGCUAGUUGGUAAGGUAAUGGCUUACCAAGGCGACGAUCUGUAACCGGCCUGAGAGGGCGGUCGGUCACACUGACACUGACAUACGGGUCAGACUCCUACGGGAGGCAGCAGUCGGGAAUUUUGGGCAAUGGGCGAAAGCCUGACCCAGCAACGCCGCGUGAAGGAUGAAAUUUUUCGGAAUGUAAACUUCGCAAGAACGGGAAGAAUAAGUAGAAGCGAAUACCUUCUAUGAUGACGGUACCGUUUGUAAGCUCCGGCUAACUCCGUGCCAGCAGCCGCGGUAAUACGGGGGGAGCAAGCGUUGUUCGGAUUUACUGGGCGUAAAGGGCGCGUAGGCGGCGUGACAAGUCACUUGUGAAAUCUCCCGGCUUAACCCGGAACGGUCAAGUGAUACUGUCGUGCUAGAGUACAGAAGGGCAACUGGAAUUCUCGGUGUAGCGGUGAAAUGCGUAGAUAUCGAGAGGAACACCUGCGGCGAAAGCGGGUUGCUGGGCUGAUACUGACGCUGAGGCGCGAAAGCCAGGGGAGCGAACGGGAUAGAUACCCCGGUAGUCCUGGCCUUAAACGAUGAAUGCUUGGUGUCUCGGGUUAUAAAGUCCCGGGUGCCGUCGCUACGCUUUAGCAUCGCCUGGGGAGUACGUCGCAGACUGAACUC
rnacentral:rRNA from 1 species